GCUGUGGAACUCCUACGGGAGGCAGCAGUGGGGAAUAUUGGACAAUGGGCGCAAGCCUGAUCCAGCCAUGCCGCGUGAGUGAUGAAGGCCUUAGGGUUGUAAAGCUCUUUCGACGGGGACGAUAAUGACGGUACCUGUAGAAGAAGCCCCGGCUAACUUCGUGCCAGCAGCCGCGGUAAUACGAAGGGGGCUAGCGUUGCUCGGAAUCACUGGGCGUAAAGCGCACGUAGGCGGAUCUUUAAGUCAGAGGUGAAAUCCCAAGGCUCAACCUUGGAACUGCCUUUGAUACUGGGGAUCUCGAGUCCGGAAGAGGUGAGUGGAACUGCGAGUGUAGAGGUGAAAUUCGUAGAUAUUCGCAAGAACACCAGUGGCGAAGGCGGCUCACUGGUCCGGUACUGACGCUGAGGUGCGAAAGCGUGGGGAGCAAACAGGAUUAGAAACCCUGGUAGUCCUACCACGU
rnacentral:rRNA from 1 species